UACGUAGGGUCCGAGCGUUGUCCGGAAUUACUGGGCGUAAAGAGCUCGUAGGUGGUUUGUCGCGUUGUCCGUGAAAACUCACAGCUCAACUGUGGGCGUGCGGGCGAUACGGGCAGACUGGAGUACUGCAGGGGAGACUGGAAUUCCUGGUGUAGCGGUGGAAUGCGCAGAUAUCAGGAGGAACACCGGUGGCGAAGGCGGGUCGCUGGGCAGUAACUGACGCUGAGGAGCGAAAGCGUGGGGAGCGAACAGG
rnacentral:rRNA from 1 species